AACCCAUCUGCUAACUUAUUCCCCUCUGUGUCAUUGUCCCUUCCUUUUCCUUCCCUCCUCGUGAUUCGUGCACACAACAAAAACCCCUGCUUAAACCCACAGGAAACUCACACCCAAAAGAACACAUUUUGCACUGUUCAGACUGUUAUCUUAAAGACAGUGGAGGAGGGAGUUUCAAAGGCAGAAAAAAGAAAGGGGCAAGUCAGAAAAUUCUUUUGAAUAAAACUCUCUUUGCUUUUUGUUUUAUUUUUUGGGUUGGGGUUCAAUUCUUUGUGACUUUUGUGAAGGAACUGCUAACGCUUUAGGGUUUUAAAGCGGUAAAUUCAGAAAAUCUUGAGGCCAUGGCAUUCCAAAUAGUGCAUUUUCUCGCCAGGUGUUUCUACUGGCUUCAAAAGAGGUCAAGAAAUUGCUCCGAUGCUGACUUCAAAGAUGUGAAGCUAUCAGCAUUAAAUUCCAAAUAAUUUUCCUAUCUUUUGCAUGUUCAAAAUGUAAAAUGAUAGGUAAAUUGGUGGGAUGAAGCCAAAUGGUCCGCGAAACUAUCAAUUUUGUAAUAUAUUGACAUUUCCUGUAAUGGGGCUUCCAUGACUUGGCCUUUUGUACUAUUUUUCUUUUGAGAGGCUCUAGCUAUUCUCGAAUCUACAUGGUUUGAGUUUUGCAACUAUGUUGUGCCUUAGAAAGUUCAAGUACCAUUUCAGAUUCGUAUAUGAAGCUGCAUGAAUAUCUAAAAGAAGAAUUCUCAGUCGCUUUCUGGUAUGAUUUUCUUUUGCUUUUCAAGAGAAUUAAAAAUUCAUUCUGGAAGUUAAGCUUCCUGCUUAUGCUUGGUUGCUAAA